rnacentral:misc_RNA from 1 species
UUUCCGUAGGUGAACCUGCGGAAGGAUCAUUCAUAAUAAAGUGUUUUAUGGCACUUUUUAAAAAUCCAUAUCCACCUUGUGUGCAAUGUUAGAUCUCGUCAAUCUUGGCGAGAUUUUUAUACAUCAACUCAUUCUUUAACUAAUUUGUCUGAAAAAUAUUAUGAAUACUUACUUCAAAAUAAAACUUUCAACAACGGAUCUCUUGGCUCUC